rnacentral:lncRNA from 1 species
UAGUGUUUGGAUAUAAAAUGCCCCUACAGACUCAUCAGCAAUUGAGCAAUUUGUCUGCUAAUGCAGUAAUGUACAGAGGUAGAGUAUAAUAGGUAAUACCACCUUGAGUUCGACAUGACAGUACGUCUUGAUUGUCAACUUGAUGAGAUGAAGAACAAUCUAGGAGGUUACCAUCAUCCCAUCAGAGAAGCUCUGUACAGUGGGCAGCAGUUAACACAGAACUCACAAAUAAGAAAAGUGCAGAGACAUAUUGCCUGUAAAGUGCUCAGCCAUAAAUGUGGCCACUGUACCACCCCAUUCUCUACAGGCUGGGGGACCAUCAGGAGCAUGGAGAUGGAAAGACUGUAAGAGCCAGAGGUCAAGGAAGACUGGAACAAAGGUCACAUUUCAGGCAACCAGGCUGAAAGAAGCUAUAUCAUCUUUUAUAUGGUUCUCGGAUUGAAAACAUCAAGUACCACAGAAACCAGAAAGAUAGCUCUGAGGACUGAGCAGACAACCCUUUCCCGGUUUCUUCUUCCAUCUCAUUAGCACU